rnacentral:rRNA from 1 species
GAUGAACGCUGGCGGCGUGCCUAAUACAUGCAAGUCGAGCGAACGGACGAGAAGCUUGCUUCUCUGAUGUUAGCGGCGGACGGGUGAGUAACACGUGGAUAACCUACCUAUAAGACUGGGAUAACUUCGGGAAACCGGAGCUAAUACCGGAUAAUAUUUUGAACCGCAUGGUUCAAAAGUGAAAGACGGUCUUGCUGUCACUUAUAGAUGGAUCCGCGCUGCAUUAGCUAGUUGGUAAGGUAACGGCUUACCAAGGCAACGAUGCAUAGCCGACCUGAGAGGGUGAUCGGCCACACUGGAACUGAGACACGGUCCAGACUCCUACGGGAGGCAGCAGUAGGGAAUCUUCCGCAAUGGGCGAAAGCCUGACGGAGCAACGCCGCGUGAGUGAUGAAGGUCUUCGGAUCGUAAAACUCUGUUAUCAGGGAAGAACAUAUGUGUAAGUAACUGUGCACAUCUUGACGGUACCUAAUCAGAAAGCCACGGCUAACUACGUGCCAGCAGCCGCGGUAAUACGUAGGUGGCAAGCGUUAUCCGGAAUUAUUGGGCGUAAAGCGCGCGUAGGCGGUUUUUUAAGUCUGAUGUGGAAGCCCACGGCUCAACCGUGGAGGGUCAUUGGAAACUGGAAAACUUGAGUGCAGAAGAGGAAAGUGGAAUUCCAUGUGUAGCGGUGAAAUGCGCAGAGAUAUGGAGGAACACCAGUGGCGAAGGCGACUUUCUGGUCUGUAACUGACGCUGAUGUGCGAAAGCGUGGGGAUCAAACAGGAUUAGAUACCCUGGUAGUCCACGCCGUAAACGAUGAGUGCUAAGUGUUAGGGGGUUUCCGCCCCUUAGUGCUGCAGCUAACGCAUUAAGCACUCCGCCUGGGGAGUACGACCGCAAGGUUGAAACUCAAAGGAAUUGACGGGGACCCGCACAAGCGGUGGAGCAUGUGGUUUAAUUCGAAGCAACGCGAAGAACCUUACCAAAUCUUGACAUCCUUUGACAACUCUAGAGAUAGAGCUUUCCCCUUCGGGGGACAAAGUGACAGGUGGUGCAUGGUUGUCGUCAGCUCGUGUCGUGAGAUGUUGGGUUAAGUCCCGCAACGAGCGCAACCCUUAAGCUUAGUUGCCAUCAUUAAGUUGGGCACUCUAAGUUGACUGCCGGUGACAAACCGGAGGAAGGUGGGGAUGACGUCAAAUCAUCAUGCCCCUUAUGAUUUGGGCUACACACGUGCUACAAUGGACAAUACAAAGGGCAGCGAAACCGCGAGGUCAAGCAAAUCCCAUAAAGUUGUUCUCAGUUCGGAUUGUAGUCUGCAACUCGACUACAUGAAGCUGGAAUCGCUAGUAAUCGUAGAUCAGCAUGCUACGGUGAAUACGUUCCCGGGUCU